AGUUAUAUGCAGACUGGGAUACUGAAACUGAAAAGUUUCUGGAAGGACAUCCAGAACAAUUUACAUCUGAAGAAUACAUGAUGCUAUACACGUGCACUCAAAAGCCUCUCCAUGACUAUUCUCAACAGCUGUAUGAUAAAUACAAGGGAGCAUUUCAAGUCUAUUAAGAUCAACGCUGUUAAUGAAGUCUACCUUGGUAAAUGGUGUGUGGUAGCGAGUGAGACGAUGGUGGUGUUUUCUAGCAGUUAAGCAUCAGAUCGCCCUGAUUUAGGGGUUACUGUUUACAAUUCAUUCCAAACACAUAUCAAUUGAGAGGUAUGGGUGGUGGUUAUCCAAUUCCAGUUGAACCACAAGGGCCUUCAAGUCAUGGACGAUCAAACCCUUCUCCAGUGACAACCCCACCUUCCGUUACAAACCCACCUCCCGUCACAAUCCCUCAAGAUAAUGAUCCAAAUACUUGGAUGGAUGAAGAGUUGAUUUGGGCGUAUGAUUAUACCUUUGCUUAACUACAAUUUGGGGCACUACGUAUUGGGGAGGGGCAUUAUCGUCCAUUGGCAAACACUCCUACAGUGCCAAACCAUCCACCAUCUUCAACCCCCCCUCAUGUGGAAAACCCCCAUCAAACACAAGGAGUACCGAAUUGGGCUGAAGGGUACGAAACCGAUCCUGGAGUGGAAUACGAACCACCCUUGGAUGAAGAAAUGAAUUGGGAACCUUAAAAACGUUAUUGAUGAAUGCAUCCACCGAAAAGACGAUGAUAAUGAUUGAUUCUCCUAUGAUUCGGUAUUUUGUUUUUGAGUAAUAUUUAAUGUGAUUUACUAAAUGUUCUAUUAUGUGUUAGUUAUUUUAAUUUCAAUGUAUUUUUGUUUUGUAUUAGUUUGA